UUGGCAGUGCGGAGCGGAGGCGGCCGGGCCGGACCGAGGGCCGGCAGAGGGAGCACAAGAGUGCGAGAAUCCCACCUGGGAGCUGGGAGGGCAGAGGGCUCCGGGUUGUUGGCGCUGAGGGAGUCCGCUGUGGCAGUCAGGGUCUGCAGCAUCACCGCCUUCGUGCAGGAGGAGCCUCCGAAUGCAGCCAGGAGCCGGCAGGGAUGGGCACAAACUACAGCAGAGGCUCAGGGAGGAAAAAGGCAAAGAGAAAAGGAAUGAAGUCGCACUGGGCAGCUUGCACGGUCACUGUGGGGCGAGCUGCUGGGUCCUCUGCACGUAUGCAGUGCAGCAGAGCUGGUAUUUGUGACAUCCUUGUGGCGCAGCACACCGCUUGCUUGGAUGGGCGAUCGGAGCUCAUCCCCGCACUGCGAACGCAGGUGAGGCCAUGCGUGCAAAGGAAGAGGACAUCCAUUCAGCUCAGUGUGAGCUGCAGGGCAGAGCACCGCGUGGACACCUGAAGCUGCCGUGGAAGGAAGGAAGGGCAGGAGCUGGUGGGGCUGCUGGGACAGCAGUGUGCGAGCCGUGCCCAGGGCUGACGUUGGGGUGGAAGAGUUGCAGUGCAUGGGGUGGGCUGCUCUGAGGCUCCGGUGGGUGCACCCCUGGGCUCAGCCCCACACACACAGCAGCAAUUGUGGCUUCCUCGCUGUUGGGCAAUGAACGGGGCCUGAAUAUUGUUGUGCUUUUCAAUAGAGAGUGCUUUCGGUUUGAAAUGACCUUGGUUGUGGCUGGUUGGAUAAUUUGUUGUGAAUAAGGUUCUGCGCAAAGUUUGGCGUUUCCUAUUUUGUUGCAUAAUAAUUAGUGAUUGGAUUUUUCCAGUAUUUAUCCUAUGCUAAUCUCAGUAGGAGCCUGAAAUACCGGCAGUGGGCUGACAUGAGCCAGCAUCCAUGUAAAGUGGGGCAUUAAUUGCUUUCUACGGGCCAGGAAGGUAGAUCCAUAGAAUCCUUGGCACUGGAAGAGACCCUUAAAGGCCAUCUGGCCCAACUCCCUGCAAUGAAUAGAGACACCCAGAGCUCCAUCAGAGGCACUCGGUCUGCUCCACCAACCAACCCCGUGAGCUUUCUGCAAACAUGCACUGCUCCGUAAACCAACUUAUUCCCACAGCGUUCCGUGCCAUCAUUGUAGGAUCGUGGUUUUGGUAAUGAGAUGAGGAUGAGCAGUCCUUGGUGCUUACAUCCAGCAUUUACAGAACCAGAAUGAUGCAAUUCCUGGCCUGAAAGAAAGAAGACAACAGAAUCAUUUAACAUAAUAAUAACAGAAGUCGUUUGCUAGAAGUGCCAUGUGGAUUCAGAGCAUCUAUUUGCAAAGAAAUUUGCCUCUCCGGGCGCAUCUGGAAUCGCACUGAUUACCAAUGCAAAACUUGACGUGGAGCAACAGAGCGGAUGGGCACAGCCAGGUCCUGCACUGCGAUAGGGUAUGCCUAAUUAAACUGUCUGGGACGAGGUUUGAAAGAAGCCACAAAAAAAAGCCUACUGGAAACCAACGUGAUCGUGUCUGUACAGGGAGUUGCAGCAGUGUUGAAGCCAAUGCAAAUUUGUGCUCAGACGAAUCCUGCGGGGAGGGAACGGCUGCGUGUGCCGUGGCCUUGCAGAGGUUCACACUCCUGCUUGCAGCACACCCUGCCUGUUGCAGGAAAGUUAUUUCCUAGCAUUUGCAGGAACUUUGUAUUUUUUUAGGGGUAAUAUGAUUUCUUCGAAGGGUAGGAAUUGGUUCCGAUAACACCCAUAACUUCAAAUCCUUUCUCUGUGGUGGGCUGGCUGACACAAAGCUGAGCCUGUUGGUCUCUGUAUGUGGUCAGGCUGUUGUGAAGCACGAAUGGAGCUCUGAGUCCUCUGCGGCUCUGAGCCCAGUAAUGCAAAGGGAUGGCUCCAAAUAGCCAAAGGAAUGGGGUGGGAAAGAUGUUGGGGCAUCUCCAGUGCAGCAUCUUCAGUGGGGCAUCUCCAGUUGGGUAUAACCAAUGGUGCAUCUCCACUGGGGCAUCUCCAGUUGGGUAUCUCCAAUGAGAUGUUUCCAACGGGGCAUCUCCAGUGGGACAUCUCAUGAGACAUCUCCCUGGAGCUGUGCUGGGAGGUGUGCUGGUGCCAUCCAGCAAGCGCAGUCACAAAUGCCAAGCAGGACAAUAGGGCUGCAGCAGCACAGUGAGCUGGGCAGCCUUGAAGGAGGGCUCAUCCCACACAGGGUCAGCGGACCAGAUCUGGCCAGCUCCUGCAGCCUGGGCCCAGGGGAGUGCAGGCAGCUCUGCUGUAAACGUUAUUGUAUAUUUAUAAACAGGGCCAGACUGAAGGGAUGACAUGGCUCUAUUUACCCCAGUGGCAUGUAAAAGUAAACAGCCCAACGAGCUGAUCAUUAACUCGCCUCCCCUGCUUUGCUUUCGUGCCUCCUUAUAUGAAUAGAAACAUUCCUGUCUGUUUUUGUUUGCCCUAUCUCUGUGAGGACUGCUGUAAGAGUCCUGAACUCGGAAUGGGCUGUCAUAUGCUCAUGGGUCAAAACAAUGCUGGCUGCCUUAUGUCUGCACCCCCCUAAAUCCUGCUUUACCAUCGAGGUAAAGAAAACCUCCUCUCCAUUUUGACAAACAAACAGGCAGUGGAACUUUGUGUGGUUCGGGACUGUCCCGUGGAAAGAGAGCCUUCACUGAGAGCUUGGUUGUAAGCCAACUCAAGGCAUUAAUCUACAGAAACAAAUCACAUAAACUAGAGAUAAGCACAUGCACCCCCAAGCAGACAGAGGCCACUUGGCUGUGAAAGGCAUGUCCUGCUACGCAGGGAGUGGGAGGCUCUGCUUUCUUGCUCACAGCCGGUGUUGCUGCGGGGUCUCGCUGGCUGCAGUCGCCCAUCUCCUGCAGUGCUGUGCAGCAAAGUCAGCAUGGACACUUUUGCCACCCACACGCUGUCGCCAGGAUCCAACAGUGCCACUGCUGCUCAGCUCUUGUGCAGGGUCAGGGACUGAUCCCAAGUGAGCAACCAGCUGCUUUUCCCCCAGCAAUAAUGCCACGUGUAGCGCAGUGCGCACGGCACCACGUCGGCUUCUGAGGAUGUGCCUGAAUGCAGCAAGACCCAAAGUGUGGCCCGUGAGGUCUUCAAGCACCUCUCUUGUGUUUCGGUGCUGCUGGCUGGGGCUUGGGCAGCUGUGGGCUGUGUGGGCAGCUGUGGAGAUGCUGCUUGGGGUGGCAGAAGGGAUGGGGUGGGGACUCUCCGGCUCAGCACAGAAGGGUCUGCUCAGCCCCACGGUGCCUCUCCUUCCCCCCUCCUUGGGGCCGUGCUGGCAGCCAGCUCCCUUCUUUCAGAGCUACCAAACCACGUUUCAUGAAGAUGGAUGGCAGAAGCCAUUGUUGUCUCAUGUUAAGCCAUUUAUUUGCUGGUGAGUCCUCAGGGGAUUGGGAGGGAGAGGGGGAAAGUGGAACAUAAUGAGAGCAGAGGGACCCAGCCCGGCGGGGUGCUGGGAGCCUGGGCUAACCGCAGAGUGCUGCCCCAGACACUGCUAUUUUUAGGCUGAUGUCAGGCUGGCUCUGGCCAGCAGUUGGCUCAGAACAGCGGGGAUGCGAAAUCGGGGUCAGGGGGCAGCUGGACCCCAUCGCCCUGCAUACAGAGCUGCUGCUGUGCACUUACCUGGUGUGGAUAGAAAGGGUAGAGCAGGGACAUGCGGGAAAUACAAGGGCCUAAGAGUGAUGCACCACUGCUUUGCCCUGCAGGGAUUCUCCUCCACAACGCCCUGCCCCAAACCCUUGCUGGCCAGCGGCUGUGCCCCAGGAAUCAUUGGUUCUGAUCCCAGGACACAGUCACAUCCUCCACUAAUGGAGAAUAACUGCUUAACUGCUCCUUUAUAAUGGCUGUCAAUGGAGAGAGGGGUAAUAACCAUAGCGAGUGGAGUCACCUUUUGGGGAAGAGCAGGGCUGGGUCUCCUGCGGACACCUCUGUGCAGGGCUGUGCAGGGCUGUAUGAGCACACAGCAUCUGCUCCUGGGCUGGGAACAUUUCAACCAGGAGAUGGGAGAGCUGCGAAUAAUGAAUCCCACACUCUGGUCUGGGCUCUCGGAUGAAUAAUCAUUGGUGAUGAAAACUAUGAGGCUCAGUGCGUCUGGGAGCCGAGGGUUUGCACCAACACCCAGCAGUUGUCCAAACACAAACAAUGAAUAAAACGAACCACAGCAAACUCAAGCUGGGGAAGGGGAGGGCCGCUUCUGCUCUGUCUCCCUUUUCUGUCACCAACAAGGGGACAGGGACAGGCACUGUGGUGGCCCAGCAGUGUCCCUGGGUGCAGGGACCGUCCCUAUUGGCACCAGGCAGCAGUGACACAGAGGGGCCUUGGGUGGCUCCUGGCUGUGUUUUUCUUGCCUGAUGACUUGGCCGGUGGGUAUUUCUCUAGGUAGCUGUGCUGUGCCAUUUCAGCUUAUCCAGCAAACUUUUUGUUCAAAUCUCAGCUGUACUAAAUUUGUGCAAAGCAAUUCUCAUGCUGUCCAGAUGCCACUGCUUCUAAAAAUAGUCCAGUCCAUUUUCCCAGCUCCUUGCCUUUUAUCAGUCAUACUUUUAAUAGUCUUUGCCAUAUUUUAAGAAGAGGAGUCAUUUGUCCAUGUCAGGCCAGCAAUUACUGGGAACAAGAAUCCUCCUUAGUUCCCCUGUACUCCCAUUCAUACUCCUACACAGAACAGACCAGGACAAAACUGGGACCUUCAGGAGCUGGUUUUGCACUAGGAUACAGAAGCUUAGGGUGGGACAUGUGCCAUGCUGGGAUGAGCUCAGGUUUUCCUUGCAGAGCUCAAGUGCUGCUGUGUAUCCCAUCAUCAGAGCUGGGGCAGCAUCUGGAGUGGGUGUGGGAUAUUCCCAAACCUCCCUGGCAUGGUGGGAUGCUGUCCCAGUCUGGUCAGAUGGAGAGACUGGGAUGGGAUAGGGUGGGGUGGAUUGGGAUAGGUUGGGAUGGGAUAAGAUAGGGUAAGAUAGAGUGAGAUGGCAUGGGAUGGGGUAUGAUAGGAUGAGAUAUGGUAGGAUGGGAAGGUGGGAAGAGGUGUCAGGCCGGUGGCAGCCCCCUCCAGCUGCCAUCCCAGUGGGAAGGGCUGCAGCACACUCCCAUGCCUCAGUUUCCCCACCUCGCAGUGGGUCAGACUGCUCCGUUUGACAUCGCAGGAGCUCUGUGGCUGUUGGACGCCACAUCUGCAAUGAGUGCAAUAAAACAGAUGCUGUCUGCGAUGCUCUCUGCUUUCUAAAAUUUUGUUUCAUGAAAAAUUUAUGCCAUUUCAGAAACAUUUCUGCAGACACAAGCAGUUUCUAAGGACAUUGGCAUCUUCCGAGUAUCCAGCAGCGUUCUUGAACAUUGUGGCUUUUCCUGUGUUUAUUUUUCCUCCUCCCGGCCAUUUUGCUGAGCAGACGGGCUGCUUUUUUUCCUCCUGGCUCUGCCUGCCCACAACCGAUGUCCCAGAGGUGCAGUACCAGAGCCUGCAUGGGGUUGUGGGGAUGCUGGCUGCAGCAGUGCCAGUGUUGUGCCCUGCAUCCCCCGGAUGAAGGCUGAGGGCUGGGAGUGCAGAAGGAUGUCCUCUUGCAAGGACCAAUGCUUGCAGGGCUGAGAAACCCUGAGGGAAAAAGUAACUGGCACCCGAGGGAUGGAUUAAGGGUAGGGUUUCUGAGGCAGCCUUCUGGGGAUGGCUGAAGAGAGCAUUACAAAACACCACGCUUUCUAUUGAACGUGGGGACCUGGUGUGAAAUAUUGCUCAGCUGGGGGAGAGGACUCCGUUGGGCUGUGCCUUGCUGGGAUCCCCACUGAGUUUGACAUCCCCCAUUCCACCCCAUUCUCCACCACUUUGGCUACGGGCGUGAGUCAGGUUUGGAGAUGCUGGAGCAGAAAAGAGCUUUGCGCAGCGAGUGAGAACGGCGAUGUCCCCCUCCAGCAUGCUGCUGGCUGCCCCUACCCGGCAAUAACAAACACCGCAACGCGACCUCCUCCUCUGCAGCUGCUGGGAGGGCUCGGAACAAACAAACCGCCGAACAACGCUUUCCAGAAGCCUCUUCUUGCCUCCCGCAGCCCCGAAGGCGCGGUGAGGAGCAGUCGGACCCGGCGCACCGCAAAGCCGUGCGUCCCACCGAGCCGCCGCGCCGCAUCCCAGCCGUAACGGCGAGGAGCUGCGCUUGGCCCCAUCCCCCGAAGCAGCGUUUCUGCCUUCCAGCAUUCCGCGGGGGGGUCCGGCCGAGGGGAACACGGCGCUCGAGCUUCUGCACGUUGGCGUUUCGGGGGAAGUGCUGAUGAAGCAUUUGUGCCGCGGCUCUGCCGAGCAGGAGGGGAACAUGCGCGGCAUGCUCGUUCCCAGAGCUCCUCCAAACACCUCUGCCAGGAGCGGGCCGCAUAGAAAUGAUCCACAAUAAGCUUAACGUUCCGGAGCAGGUGGAACGGGGCAGGGCUCAGAAAUUACCCGCACAGAGCAGGCAAAGGGCCGGGCUGCAAUGGCUCUUUGUUUCGGGAGCCCGGCUCGCUUUCUGCCCUCGCAGUGGGUCGGCACGGGGCACAGCAGCGAUUUCAGAUUUGAUUCAACUAUUGGGCAGCAUUGCUAUGUUAAACGAUGAUGUGCUGCUAUCUGUGCUGCAGUAUGCAGAGCUCAGGAGAUCACAGCUGAAUCCAUCGCAGACAGAGCGUGGUGUAAUGGGAGGUCAUUAAGGAGCUAAACAAGAGGGCGAAGAAAGCAGAUGUGUCGUGUUGCUGCCCAAUGGGCACACAUGACAAGUGAGGAACUAAGCAAGGAGCAAUAUGGAUGAUGCAGAUGUAUGUUCUGACCUUUGGGAACCCAAUCCAGAUGCAAACACUUUAGGCAGGACCCCACUUCCCACCACCACGCCUUCAAACAAAACUCAGCCCCGUGCAUCCCCUGUGCCAGCCAACGCCUGCAGAGUCAGCUCAGGGCUGCUAAAGGCAUUCCCAGCACAAGGAUUACUUUGCUUUUAUGCUUGCUGCCCAUUCAGCCUUUUGUGAGCUGCCAUGAGGAUUAGAUCCCAACGCCUGGGCAGAGGAGCUGGGAGGAUGUCACCUGCUUGGAAGGAUGGGGACACAGGAGACGUGUUGGCUCAGGGCUGCUUCAACCCUCCUUUACUCCACACCUGAAAAGACACCUCUGGAAAGAGUGACUUCCCAGUGUGACCAUCCCUGGCCACAGAGAAGGGUCCUACAGUGUCACCACAUCGCUCUGUCUCCUGCCCUGCCUGGCUUCAGGCAGCAUUUUGCUUUGCCACAGUGCAUCUGCACGUUCAGGUCAGUAUUCCACCAACCUUCCCAUUCCCACUCUGCUUUUGCCAGCACGCAGCUCCUCUCAAUCCAAGAGACAAAACAAGCCCCAGGCUCACAGAGCUCGCCAGCACCAAAGGGUUUUAUUGCCCACUCAUUGAGCCCCUAUCAGCCAAAUCCUUGGCCAAAUGAGAGCCGCCCAUUCAAAGCCAGUUUACAGCAGUGACUUUAUUUUUUAUUUUAAAAGCAUCUGGAAAUUAAAAAUCCCCUUUGGCUCUCGUCCACUUUGCAGAGGGAGCCAGCCCUGCCGUCUGGCCAAGCAGCCCCGUGCUGCCGGCCUGGGUGGAUCCAGCACUGGGACAUUCUUCUGCCUCCAGCAGACGCAGGCGGUUGGCUCCAAUCCAUCAGCUCAUAGACUUCCCACGCUGGGUGUCGGGUUGGUCCUCGCUCUGUGACCGGGACACUGUAGGACACUGCAGCUGUUGGUGCUGUCCCCAACACUGGGACGUUCGCCACGUGAUGCCAACUUACACCGAGAGCUGUGGCCCAGCUGGUGCACGUAAGGGUUCACCCCAGGCGAACCAAUGCCAAAUGUGGGUUAUUUCUUGCAGUUUUGGGGUGACUGCAGGUAGGUGUUGGCCAUCUGCAGGACACGUUGCUGCUGCAGAUCCGUGGCAUCUUGGUCAUGGUGCACAGACACUGAGGAAAGGAGGGCUUGGGUGAGCAGCUCCUUCCCCAUGAGACCCUCUGAGGGUACCACGCCAACACUGGGCUCCUCUGUACCACUGUGGCCUCUGCAGAGCCAGGGAUUGCCCUCGGCCUCUCCUCCCCUCAGGAUUGGCCGACCACGACCUGGAGGAGAUGAGUCUCAUUGCUCACAGGUGUGCUCUGCUAGGAGAGGAAGGAAACGCACCAUUUGGCUGUGGGGGAAAGGCCCAUUUCACCCCUCCCAAGGAUCAGGCACAGGGAGAAGUGAGCAGAGGCUCUUCCCUAAUCUCUGCUAAGCUCUCGCAAAGCCCUGCUGCACAUUCCAGACAUCUCCAAAGGCUCAAAGCUGAAACAACCAUGGUCAGAUGCUCCUGGCAAUGGCAAUGCGCCCAUCUUCCCCUACUGGGAUUCAAGUCCUUCUUUCAAAGUGUGGAAGCAUUACAUCUUUCCGAAGGAAGGAUUGCCUGAAUUAUUCAAACACUGAGAAACACGGUGUAUUUCCCUCUGGCCUGGCUCUUCCUGGCAGUUGAACUGCUCGGCUGGAGCUGGAGCCACAUCAGGAUGGGAUCCUGCACUCAGAAGGACCAACAGCUUCCAGAGCGACCAGCGCUGCCUCCAGAAAUAUUGGCCAACCCCGUGAGCGUUGUGUGGUGUCCAAAGAGCACAGUCAGGUUACAUCUUCCUUUUGAAGUCAACUUGGAUCUGACCAUGACUUUGGACCUUUGAAAACCCCAGUCUUUCCCAUUUUGUCUUCUAAGAUGGCUCCUUACCUUACCUGUCUCCCACCACAGUAUCAAUCAUUAUGAACACAAAUCAAAUGCUUGAUGCAAGCAAUAACACUAGAGGGCCCUGCCUCCCUUAUCCUCUAUGGGCAAUGACUAACACAGUUGGAGCCUCCAGAUGUAAUUUAAAGCAUUCUGAAAUCACACACAGGUGAGACGAAGGCUGACCAAGAUGGUAACAUUUACAUUAAAAUAAUCAAUCUGUAGCAGCAACAGAGGGGAGAUUGUCCUCCCUCAGCCUAAUCCAUAGAUCUCACUUCCAUGACUUCAAGCAUGAAGGUGCUGGAAAAGGAAGACCCACAGGUUGGUUCAUCUUGCUGUUAGAUUUUCAUAUCUUUGUCAUCCCUCAUUCUCAUGGUUUGCUGUCUUAUUCUAUUGAAGCAGUAACCUGAAAGUGGAGAGAAGAAGGGAUGGGAGGAAGUCCUGGGAUCUGUAUGAGGUUUUUUUCCUUAAGAAUAAUGAUUUACUUGCCCCUUGGCUUGUGGUCUUUGUCGAGCACAGCACUGUCUAUUCUGGUUGCUCACAUUGGAGGUACAGAUCCCAGCAAGCAGCUGUCCCAUGGUACACUGGGUUUUCCAUAACGAAUGGGAAUCCUUUAUAAAAGUAAAGUGAUAGGAAGGCUAUUUGCAUUGGGAUGUAUCUAAGGGGUUGGAAAGGAGUCGGCCGCAUUGUGGGGAGGGCAGUAAGUGCUGCAGGUUCUGUUCUGCUUACAGAUGUGCCCUUAAGAGUUGUACAUCCAACAGAUGCCAACGCACAGCUCAUCCACACCAGGCCCUGUCCUGGAAACACACACACAUGCUUUCUUCCUGCCUUCACUAAAAGAAGCCAGGGCUUGGCACUGCUGCACUUUCUGUAACUCCCCCCUCUCCCCGCUAUGAGUGGUGGUAGAGCACCCACAGCACAUCGCCCCAAAGAACUGUGUUAUGGGAGCUCUUAUGGAAGGGACCCCACCUCCCUUAUGCCACGGUUGAGCAAAAAGGGAGGAGAGGAGGCUCAGCCCCAGUUUAGCACAUAAACAGGGACACAGAAAUCAGAAACAUGGCAAAUGUUAUUCCCCUGUAUUGCUGGGGGAGCCUCCUCGGCUGCCUUAGGGCUGAGGCUGGCAGGGCUGCCCCUUGGGGUGCUCAGCAUCACACGUGGGGAGACUACAGCAGCGAGAAAGGGAGACACAAACCCUCCUUUCUCAGCCUCUUGGCUAAAACCCAAAUCGCUUAAACGGCUCCGCCAGGGGCUGAUUCCCCCAGCGCUCAUCUCUGGCUGCUGUAAACCCGAGGCUGUGCACACGAGGUUUGCUGUGCAUUUCAUGCUUCUGUAGAAGCACGAAAGCCAUCCUAGCCAGCCCUCUAGCGGUCCCAGGCGGGGCGAUGGGGCCAGAUCCGGGCACUGGGGUCUGAGCAGCGCAGGAGGACCAGGGGAAGCUUCCCUGCAGCCUACAGCCCCUGGAAGCCACGAAGCAGAGCCCAGCAGGCAGCCCAGGAGGAGAGGGGCAUCCCAGCUGUGCAGCUGGAGGGCAUCCAGGUGGAGAGUACGGGAAGUGCCUUCCCGUUUUAGGAGCUGCAACUCCCAGGUGACUCCAGAGCCAGGAAGAACAGAGAGUUUCAAAGUGAAGGAUGAGAUGCUCCAGGCCCUGGAGCCAAUUGCUUAAAGGGAAGAGAAGCAAAAAUCCAAAGAUGAGACAAAACGAGUAGGUCCCAGCAUUGAGCUCCGUAAAACCAGAGUUACAUUGGCUUGGGGCACCUUGCAGGUGCACAGACAUGGAUGGGAGAACACACCCUGGGCUGAAGCUCGGCAAUAACACGUUUGGUUUAGUGUUGAAGUCUUCUGAAAGCCUUGGCCCACAGUGCGACGAUCAAGAUAACGACCAAGAGAUGUUUGGGAUGCUGCGGGGCACAAACAGUAGGAGCCGUAGUUCCUCAGAAGCCAGAGAUCUUCUUUGCUACGUGAACUUGAAGCAAGGUCUGGGGAGAUAACCCCUCAGUGCUGUGCUCUGUGAGAUUUAACUCUUCCCACUCCCAAAAACCUCCUCAGAUCUGAUCAGAGCAGCAUCUCACCAACCUUCACACGGACCGACCUGUGAGCAGCACUCCUUCUUUCGUGGAAAGAAGUAAGCUGAAGCCAAGAAGACUGCAAAUUGCUUUAUUUUACUGCUAAAACCCAAGGGUUGUUUCUCACUGCUUCCUCGGUAUACAGCGAUUGGGUUUCAUUCAAGUAAUUGUUCUAAUGGAUAAUACUAUACUAUUAUGACUGGAGGGCUAAUUAGUAGUGUGUGCACUGCAUUCAAUAACCUGAACCCAGCAUGAGUUGUCCCUCCCGUGGGAGGUUCAGCUGUUGGAGGAGCCGUUGAGUUGCGUGAUCGGCCCUGAAACCUUCUCCCUUAAGUUCCAGCUUUGGAGAACAAGUUGUUCACCAAGUGCUGAAUUCAGCCUUGGAGUAACUCCAGUGAAAACAAAAGGAGUAACAACAGGAAUGGAUUAGGCCCAAUUGCUUUCACAUUUCUCCGGCUUGAAUUUCCAAUUGCAAUAUUACGGGAGGAGUGAAAAGGAAACCCAACAAACCACCACAUGGCACAACGACAGAUCCACUCCGACAUGUCAGUCUGCCCGUGGACAUGCACCCAGGUGAGCUUCCAUAGGCUCACCCAUGAGCAAAACCGUGGCAGGGGGUGAUACAUGUUCCUACUUUUGCCUCUUUGUUAUCAUGACAUUUUUCAUGUAACGGGCAAACCCAUCCUGCAGUUCAAGGCUGCUACACUUCUGACUUCUGACUGUAUGUCUGCAUGAACAAAACGAGUGUCUGCCAAGCUGAGAUAUCAAAUUGUGAGGAUUCCAUUGCACAAUAACGUGGUCAGUAAGAUUAAAUGGUGUGUGCUCUGUACGGAGCCCAUUUUCCAUGCAUGGGGGGAGUGGGCACAGUCUCGCCUACAAAUCCUUAUCUGAUAGCUCAUCUCUUUGGCAGCCCUGAGUCUAUGGAUGUGGAUCAACAGCAAAGGAACACGGACUGAGAUAGAGAGCUGCACGCUCCUCUGAUAGCACUCACUGCAAACCGUUCCUCGACAAAUGUAUGUAAACAGAUCUAUGGAACGUCACAGAAGCCCAAAGCGUUCGGUGUGAGGGCAGGUGUGACCCGGGGGCUUUGCAGGGUAAAUGCAGAGCCCUGUUCUGCUGCCACGCAGGAGGCGGAGGAGCCCAGCUCAGCUGCUAUCUAACUGAGAAAUCACCGCGCAUUGUUUGCAAACUUAUCGGGAGUGACUUGAAUGGUGAAUGAGCCCCAGCCAGGCAGCUGGCAGGCUGCGAGCACACAAUGCCUGCUGAAUCUGCACUUCCUGCUGGAGACGUGCAAAGGAGAAGGCAAACUAUGAACGAACGGAGGAAGCGCUCCCCACGAGCCGGAGCUACAUGCAGGGCUAGGGAGAGACAGAGCUCCCAGCAGCAGGAGGGAGCUGGGGGCACUCCCAACCCAACCUACGGCCGAAGCAAGGCGUGCUCCUGCCAGGCGCUCACCUGGACAGCAGGUUGCAGAGCUGAAGCUGCUGUAAAUGCUCCAAGGUCUGCGUGUGCACGCACCGAGGAACAGCAGCGCGAUGCCUGCGGUCUGACGGAAUGCUGCAGCAUCAGCACUUUGGGAGAAAGGGCCCAGCUCGCAAUCCACUGCAACAAGCUGAAAUGUGCCACAGCAUGCUUCCAACCAGCUGCCCGGGUGGGGAAAGCAGCCGAGAGGCAAAACACCCUGAGCACAGCUCCCCUGCGGGGGAGGCCUUUCAUUUACUUCAGGCUGUCGGUACACCUGAGCAGUCUCCUCUAGUAUGGGAACGUGUCUAUCUUAUGACCAAAAAGCUCCACCUCUUGAUGUUAUUCCGCUUUAAUGCUGUGAGUGCAACGAGGUCCAAACAUCAGCGGCCCUGGGAGGAGGUGGAAAGAAAGAAAACAACACAAACUCCAGCACGGAAGCUGCAGGACAGACACAACCCCAGCUGAGGUCACACAGCUCGUUGAGCACCGGCCCACGUUUGCAGGCCGUGGCACCAUCCGGUGGUCACACAGACACCCACUGGGCUCUCCUGGCCCACCUCACCACCACAGUCAGAGCUGUACUGUGUGAGCUCACACUUCCAACUGGUGCAGGCAGGGUGCCGGUGUGGGAGCUGCCACUACAUUCCCAGUGCCCACAGCAUCACAUUGCUCAUCCUGCUGCACUGUAACAGGGGAAAAGAAGUGACCACCAGCAGUAACAGUCCUCAAAAGACAAAUGGUUCCUAUUGCAGCGCCGGACCUUGCAAUCACUUUGAUGUUCUCUCUCCUGCACAAACAAAGCUGUUCCUUUCCCAGUCUGUUCUUGCACACGAACAAGAUGUUACAUGUGCUAUACGUAGCACAUCCCGACUUAUUUAAAGCACUUUUGUCCCAACUCGCUGCACUUUCCUCUCCACAUCACUGAAUCAAUACUCACGUAUUACAGGCACGGAGGCAUUUUUAUCCUACUUCUCCCUGCCACACCAUUUGUCUUCCUUAAUCUUAGAGGUUCUGCUGAUAAAUAAUGCUGACACUUAACUGUGGUUGAGAACGAGCAGAGAGGUAUGUGAGCUUUCCCCAUGAUGUUAGGGUGCUCAGAGAGCAAAGGGUUUGCUUUCAUUUAGAUUUGGAUCUGGAUUCAUUACCUUUGGUUAUUGAUACCACCCGCUACUUACUGUGUAUUACACAGUAAUGACUUCUACAGUGGAAGAAAUGCUGACCAGGCAUUGCAUUGAUGGAGUGUUACAGCUCUCACAACAAACUUAACUUGCAAACUAUUUGGGGUGAGGAAAGUUUUUGUCCCAGUACAAUAGGGUUUUCGUAAUUCGCCUUAUAAAUGACCCCAAUACAAAUAAUAGCCCGGCACUUCUGCUGCCAGCUUGUUUAGUUAUGGGCACAGCUCACAAGCGGUGCAGACUGGUGCAGAAGGCAGGGAGCUGGGUUAGGUGGAGCAGGGGUAAAACAAACCCCAAAACAAACCCCAUCACUGUCCCCAGGUUUCAUGUUGAAGGCUCAUGCUGUUACAUGAGUUACCCUUAUACAGACUGCUGCACAAAUGAUACCCGAACGCCCUGCCGAAUUGAAACGGAAUGGGUAAUUCUUUUAGAAGACACACAUUUCAUUAUCUGAAAAAUAAUCAGAAAUCCCAGACUGUGUUAUACCCCCAGUGAGAGAAAAGCAGGAGUUGGCCAAGUCCACCAGGAGUUUACCACGGCCACAAUAAGAAAGUCAACUUGUGGUCAUUAACAGCCAACAAUUGUGUUGGUGUAAGAGGUAAAAAUCUUCCAUGAUCACCAAUGGACGUUCUUUGUUAAUAGCAGGGACCUACCCGGCCUCUUCAGGCUCUAUAAUGUAAGAACAAAUCAUUUACUCCAGGUUUAAAGGAAAACACUGGCCUAACAUGCCAAGAGUCAGAACGUAAAGCCUCACCAGCCCCAUAUCAAAAGGCCUUAAGGCCUAAAAACAAGUAAUAAAAGGCAGCUUUAAUGCAAAAAAAUGGCUUGGACUGAAACAAGUCCACUUGUUUCACUUCUGCUAAGUGCCCAGCGUGCGCUCUAUGAUAGCCUAGAGGUCCAAGUUAGAAGGGGAAGUUGUGUGCCUCUGUACUUCAGGGAAUGGCAGCGCCAAGGCAGCAGCUCCACUCACUGCCUGCAUGCAGACUCUUCACUUGCAGCAGGAAGCGUGAGCUCAAACCAGCUCUGCAGCCUACUUACUCCUCCUGAAAUGAGACGUAGCCCAAGACGUCAUCAAUGUUAGCCUGAUGACCAAGGGCCCAGCUGUGAGUUAGAUAAGCAGAGUCCUUGGCGGAGCGUGAGCAGCAGCCCCAUGCCCUCUCCAAAGAGAGCUGUUAAAUUAAGCCAAAUGCUGCUCGAGUUUUGACCACCAAGGCCAUGGACUGAACAAAACACUCGUAGGCUUGACCAGCAGCCUUCUCCUGUAAGUUGGAACAGCCCGAACCCUCAUGAGAGUCUCAGAUGCCAGAAAUGUUUCUGAUUUGAAAGCUGGAUAAGCCAGGUCUGCACUCAGGGCUAAAGCUCUUAUCUAUACUCAAGGAGCUCAUUGCUACAUCCAUCCUCCAGCAGCUCCGUGGGUCAGCUGGUACCUUCAGCGACCCACCUCACAUCAGCCACAACACGUGCUAAGAACGACUUAACAAACCUUGAGCCAGUCUGAAACACUGAAUGGAAGGCAAAGUCCCUUCCCUCUUAUGAUGGACUGCUGCCAUUUAUAUAACAGCCCUGGAAUACAGCAGGUGGUCUGUAUAGCACCAAAAAUACUGAUUGGAUUUUAGUCCCAUUACUUCAUGAGAUAUUUGAACCAAUAUUAAUGCAAAGCUUUUUAUUGUUGUUAUAAAGUUACCAGGAAGAUGAUAUGCGGAUGAAAUUCCUCCAGGAAAACCGGGUUCUCACCUCUGCUAUCACACAGCGUUAUCAUUUGGGUCUGCAGCCUCCCAAGAUGUGCCUGUUGCAGUGCACCAAUACGGCGAGUCCUGAGCUCACGUGUGUUCAAGUUAACCUCUGCAUACAGCCCCCACCAUGGCUGUGCCUGGAGAAACCUGCCAACUCCAGGCCGCCCAUUUGGAGCACUUUCAGCAUUUCAAGUCGUUACAAUGAGCAUUUUCAGGAAUUUGCUCAAAGAUGGGACUUCAGUGCUUUUACACAGUCCAACUUUCCUUGGACAUUGCAAGAAUGAGCUUUCCAAUAAAGCCCGCAGGACUCAGAUUUACAUCCUCACGGACAGUUUAAUUACUUUCAUUGCAGGAGAAAGUAUUUAAUCACACGCAGUCAGAAAAACAGCCCCUUAAAUGAAGCCUUUUGGGCCUGCGAUCCUCAGCCUGAGAUGCAAUGAAUUAAAUGAAACACGCACACUGCGAUCCAUUUCAGGACAUUUGAUAUUAUCAAAACAGAGUUCCACAGCUGAUAUAUAUAUACAUAUAUAUGGUCCAAACCAUUGGUAUAACCCUUCCAGCACGUAAGGCUGCUGAAUGAGGAGCCAAGUGGACUUCAGGUAAAAGCUAAUGGCAGCUAAUUCACAUACUGAAACUACUCCAUCAAAAAGGCUGCUUAAGCAGCAUUGGUGUUGGCUGCUGUUUUCACUUCUCCGUGGUCACAGUGCUAGAAGCAUUUGACUGCUGACGAUUCUCAGCAAUAGGUCUGCAUCAAUGGUUUCCCAUUUCAAAAACAAAUAAAUAAAGAGGGUGAGGAAAGGCAGGAAUUCUCAGACGCUCCAUACAGCAAUUCAGCACAAGUCAGUCUGUUGAAGUCAUAAGAACCCACCGUGCUGUCAGCGGUUAAGUAUUACAGCUGACUCUACCAGCACCAGCUGGCAUUCCUCCCCAAAGUGCUAUCUAAUUCAUUACACACCGGACAGUUAAUAAAUCCUCAGCUCCAACUUGCAGUCAGUGUAUGCAGAGCGCCCCAUCCCAGCCUUCCCACUGCAAUCGAGGCUGAUUCUGUAAGCAGCAGAAACUCGCAUGCAGUUAAGUGCAAAUAUCAGCUGUCAGAGUAGAAGCCCUCCCCCAGUCAGUUCUAACACAAACAAGUGGUAUUACAGCUGGGUAUGGAUGAGAACGCAGUCCCAGAGGGGACCUAUUACAAUUACAGCAAGACACUUCAUUCUGAAACAACAGACAAAGCAUGUGGGUAUUGUAUAUAUCUUUUAUAAAAGAGCAAUGCCUUCUGAAGAGUGGAGAAUAGCCAGAACGCUAAAAAGAUGCUGUAACAAGAGUCAAUAUUUGUGCGUUUGCUUUAUGAAGCUUACAUUCUAACGUUUACAAAGGCCAGCACUUAUAUAGGACUCUCCACUAACAAACAGAUCUGGAAUACAUCAAUUGUACAGGUAAGUCAGCCCAAAAUAAGCGACAGCUAUGCUCUUCUGUUUUAAGAAAGCAUGCAAUAGUUUCCCCCCCCCCUCUGCCACCCCCUGCCCAUGUUUCUAGAGCACAGAACCAGGAAAGCACAGUACAACCCAAGUGGGGCACAGGUAACAGGUUGAAUUCCAUCACAGACCGUUGAUCGACAGUUUUGCAAAUGCAAAAGCGGCCUUCUUCAGCAACAGGAAGGCAGAGAAGACACAAGCAUGAAUAAAAAAAAAAUAAU